rnacentral:rRNA from 1 species
UACGUAGGGUGCGAGCGUUUGUCCGGAAUUAUUGGGCGUAAAGAGCUCGUAGGCGGUCUGUCGCGUCGGUCGUGAAAACUUGGGGCUUAACCCUGAGCUUGCGGUCGAUACGGGCAUGACUGGAGUUCGGUAGGGGAGACUGGAAUUCCUGGUGUAGCGGUGGAAUGCGCAGAUAUCAGGAGGAACACCAAUAGCGAAGGCAGCUCGCUGGGACGGUACUGACGCUAAGGCGCGAAAGCGUGGGGGAGCGAACAGG